AUACGUAGGGUGCGAGCGUUGUCCGGAAUUUCUGGGCGUAAAGAGCUCGUAGGUGGUUUGUCGCGUCGUCUGUGAAAUUCCGGGGCUUAACUCCGGGCGUGCAGGCGAUACGGGCAUAACUUGAGUACUGUAGGGGAGACUGGAAUUCCUGGUGUAGCGGUGAAAUGCGCAGAUAUCAGGAGGAACACCGGUGGCGAAGGGGGGUCUCUGGGCAGUAACUGACGCUGAGGAGCGAAAGCAUGGGUAGCGAACAGGAUUAGAUACCCUGGUAGUCCAUGCCGUAAACGGUGGGCGCUAGGUGUAGGGGUCUUCCACGACUUCUGUGCCGUAGCUAACGCAUUAAGCGCCCCGCCUGGGGAGUACGGCCGCAAGGCUAAAACUCAAAGGAAUUGACGGGG
rnacentral:rRNA from 1 species